rnacentral:rRNA from 1 species
AACGAACGCUGGCGGCAUGCCUAACACAUGCAAGUCGAACGAGACCUUCGGGUCUAGUGGCGCACGGGUGCGUAACGCGUGGGAACCUGCCCUUAGGUUCGGAAUAACUCCCCGAAAGGGGUGCUAAUACCGGAUAAUGUCUUCGGACCAAAGAUUUAUCGCCUUUGGAUGGGCCCGCGUUGGAUUAGCUAGUUGGUAGGGUAAAAGCCUACCAAGGCGACGAUCCAUAGCUGGUCUGAGAGGAUGAUCAGCCACACUGGGACUGAGACACGGCCCAGACUCCUACGGGAGGCAGCAGUGGGGAAUAUUGGACAAUGGGCGAAAGCCUGAACCAGCAAUGCCGCGUGAGUGAUGAAGGCCUUAGGGUUGUAAAGCUCUUUUACCCGGGAUGAUAAUGACAGUACCGGGAGAAUAAGCACCGGCUAACUCCGUG